rnacentral:tRNA from 1 species
UUUUUAUACAGAAGGAUUUUGAAAAUCCUUAUAGGUAUUAAUAAUCAUACCAUCUAGAG